UACGGAGGGGGCUAGCGUUGUUCGGAAUUACUGGGCGUAAAGCGCACGUAGGCGGCUUUGUAAGUUAGAGGUGAAAGCCCAGGGCUCAACCCUGGAUUUGCCUUUAAGACUGCAUCGCUUGAACAUCGGAGAGGUAAGUGGAAUUCCGAGUGUAGAGGUGAAAUUCGUAGAUAUUCGGAAGAACACCAGUGGCGAAGGCGACUUACUGGACGAUUGUUGACGCUGAGGUGCGAAAGCGUGGGGAGCAAACAGG
rnacentral:rRNA from 1 species